AGUGAACGCUGGCGGUAGGCCUAAUACAUGCAAGUCGAGCGGCAGGACAGGAAGAGCUUGUCCCUACGGUUGGCGGCUGGCGGAUGGGUAAGGCGUACAUAGGAAUCUACUUAUUCUGGGGGGAUUACGUAGGGAAGCUGACGCUAAUAGCUCAUAUUACCUACGGGAGGAAGCAGAGGAGCUUGGGAGUUUGGGUGAUUGAUUGAGACGGAGUCGCAUUAGCUAGUUGGCGGGGUAACGGCACACCAAGGCGACGAUCCGUAGCUGAUCUGAGAGGAUGAUCAGCCACACUGGAACUGAGACACGGUCCAGACUCCUACGGGAGGCAGCAGUAGGGAAUAUUCGACAAUGGGCGCAAGCCUGAUCCAGCCAUACCGCGUGGGUGAAGAAGGCCUUCGGGUUGUAAAACUCUUUUGUUAGGAAAGAAAAGCUGCAUAUUAAUACCCCGCUGUUCUGACGGUACCUAAAGAAUAAGCCCCGGCUAACUUCGUG
rnacentral:rRNA from 1 species